AGAGUUUGAUYCUGGCUCAGGACGAACGCUGGCGGCGUGCCUAAUASAUGCAAGUCGAACGCUUCUUUCCUCCCGAGUGCUUGCACUCAAUUGGAAAGAGGAGUGGCGGACGGGUGAGUAACACGUGGGUAACCUACCCAUCAGAGGGGGAUAACACUUGGAAACAGGUGCUAAUACCGCAUAACAGUUUAUGCCGCAUGGCAUAAGAGUGAAAGGCGCUUUCGGGUGUCGYUGAUGGAUGGACCCGCGGUGCAUUAGCUAGUUGGUGAGGUAACGGCUCACCAAGGCCACGAUGCAUAGCCGACCUGAGAGGGUGAUCGGCCACACUGGGACUGAGACACGGCCCAGACUCCUACGGGAGGCAGCAGUAGGGAAUCUUCGGCAAUGGACGAAAGUCUGACCGAGCAACGCCGCGUGAGUGAAGAAGGUUUUCGGAUCGUAAAACUCUGUUGUUAGAGAAGAACAAGGACGUUAGUAACUGAACGUCCCCUGACGGUAUCUAACCAGAAAGCCACGGCUAACUACGUGCCAGCAGCCGCGGUAAU
rnacentral:rRNA from 1 species